rnacentral:rRNA from 1 species
UACGUAGGGGGCGAGCGUUGUCCGGAUUUAUUGGGCGUAAAGAGCGUGUAGGCGGCUUGGCAAGUCCGCUGUGAAAACUCGAGGCUCAACCUCGAGACGUCGGUGGAAACUGCCUGGCUAGAGUCCGGAAGAGGAGAGUGGAAUUCCUGGUGUAGCGGUGAAAUGCGCAGAUAUCAGGAAGAACACCCGUGGCUAAGGCGGCUCUCUGGGACGGUACUGACGCUGAGACGCGAAAGCGUGGGGAGCGAGCAGG